rnacentral:lncRNA from 1 species
UAGUUGUUGUUGCGCCUGUGCCACCCACUCUGUUAUAUUUUGAAUGUAUAGUACUUUUUUUUUUUGAAUUGGCAAAUUUUGAGGGUUACCUUCUUCCACCAAAAUAAUUCAAGAGAAAUAGUGCAUCUUCAAUCACAUUCUGCAAAAGUAUAAACAACACUCCCGUGAAUUUCAUUUUGUAAUUGAAGAGAAAAAUUGUUGAUGAAAAUUGGUAGAAUCAAUGAUUGUUUG